UAGCUUACGUAACCGCCAGCUUUGCUUCUUUUCUCGCCACCUUGUAGAUCUCCCUGUUCGCUCUGCGUUCUUCCUCGCUUGUGCUCCCUGCCAACUUAGCAAACGCCGCCUUCUUUACCUCUACUUUUCCUUCGACUAUAUUGGUCCACCACCAGUCACCCUGAUGUCUGACUGAAUAGCCCUUGGCUACCCCGAGCACGUCCCGUGCUACCUCCCUAACCAUGUUCGCCGUCUC
rnacentral:lncRNA from 1 species